rnacentral:rRNA from 1 species
UUCCUACGGGGGGCAGCAGUGGGGAAUAUUGCACAAUGGGGGAAACCCUGAUGCAGCGACGCCGCGUGAGUGAAGAAGUAUUUCGGUACGUAAAGCUCUAUCAGCAGGGAAGAAAAAAAGUCCUUUGGACUUUGGACGGUACCUGACUAAGAAGCCCCGGCUAACUACGUGCCAGCAGCCGCGGUAAUACGUAAGGGGCAAGCGUUAUCCGGAUUUACUGGGUGUAAAGGGAGCGUAGACGGCAGCGCAAGUCUGGAGUGAAAUGCCGGGGCCCAACCCCGGAACUGCUUUGGAAACUGCGCAGC